AUCCUUCCAAAAUGUUCCAGCUGUGGAUGGAAUUAAAUUCAACAGUGAAUCCCAUCUCCUGUGCUGACAUGAUGGACUAGUAAGAAUAAACCUUUGAGAGACAACAUUGGAAUUAAAGUACUGGAACAUUUUCUUGGCCACCUGAGAAAAUUCGUUGACAUCUGAGAAAUCUGGGAGUAGCUGGUGCCAAACUAUCUGCUGGUUUUGGAGCCAUGGGAUAAUUUAGACUGGAAGGGACCACUGGAGGUCAUCUAGUCCAACCUGCUGCU